rnacentral:lncRNA from 1 species
CAGGAUAGUAUAGCCUACCAUUGGUCCUUGAAUUUUAUAUAGAUUAUCAGAUGGAGCUAAAGCAUUUUUAUACAUAUGGGAGAUUAUGGAAGGGCGGUGACCCCUUGGUUGCAGUUAUGAUCAAAGGUGUUUAGGUGAACAUAUCUACAAAAACUAUCUCUAGAUUCCUGCAUGGCAAGAUUUCCAGCUACUUGCCAACACUGUUAAGAUUGAUCACUAUGUGGAUAAAAUAUAGAAGGUAAAGAAAAC